CGUAGGGAAUCUGCCCAUGUGCCCGGGACAACAGAUGGAAACGUCUGCUAAAACCGGAUAGGUGGCAAGGAGGCAUCUUCUUGCGAUUAAAGGGGCUACGGCCUUGAACAUGGAUGAUCCUGCGGUGCAUUAGCUGGUUGGUGAGGUAACGGCUCACCAAGGCGAUGAUGCAUAGCCGACCUGAGAGGGUGAACGGCCACAUUGGGACUGAGACACGGCCCAA
rnacentral:rRNA from 1 species